AAAAGUGCUCAUAACAAAAAGGGGUGCACGCCAUGCACCCCCUAUUUCUGAAAAAACGUUCGUAAAAAAACGGGUGCACGUCGUACACCCCGGGAAAAAAUUAAAAUUUCCAAAAAAAAAGUAACGGAACUAAUCCCCUUCUUCUUCUUCUUUCUCUUUCCCCUUGGGAUUUCCUCUUCUUCUCCUCCAAUACCACCGACCCACCCCCCUUAUCUCCUCGUUCCUCACCUCCAGCACCAUCCAAAUUUUCAAAAACUCAUCAUCCUAACUCCUUCCUCCCCACAGACGCCCUCCCCUGCUC
rnacentral:lncRNA from 1 species